rnacentral:rRNA from 1 species
AGUUUGAUCCUGGCUCAGGAUGAACGCUAGCUACAGGCUUAACACAUGCAAGUCGAGGGGCAGCGGUAUCGAAAUAUUGCUUUCGGUAGCCGGCGACCGGCGCACGGGUGAGUAACGCGUAUCGAACCUGCCUCAUACUCGGGAAUAGCCUUGCGAAAGUAAGAUUAAUGCCCGGUGUUUUCAGAGUCCCGCAUGAGGCUUUGAACAAAGAUUUAUCGGUAUGAGAUGGCGAUGCGUCCCAUUAGCUUGUUGGCGGGGUAACGGCCCACCAAGGCAUCGAUGGGUAGGGGUUCUGAGAGGAAGGUCCCCCACAUUGGAACUGAGACACGGUCCAAACUCCUACGGGAGGCAGCAGUGAGGAAUAUUGGUCAAUGGGCGGAAGCCUGAACCAGCCAAGUAGCGUGCAGGAAGACGGCCCUCCGGGUUGUAAACUGCUUUUAGUUGGGAAUAAAACGGGGCUCGUGAGCCCCCUUGCAUGUACCAUCAGAAAAAGGACCGGCUAAUUCCGUGCCAGCAGCCGCGGUAAUACGGAAGGUUCGGGCGUUAUCCGGAUUUAUUGGGUUUAAAGGGAGCGCAGGCGGACCUUUAAGUCAGCUGUGAAAUACGGCGGCUCAACCGUCGAACUGCAGUUGAUACUGGAGGUCUUGAGUGCACACAGGGAUGCUGGAAUUCAUGGUGUAGCGGUGAAAUGCUCAGAUAUCAUGAAGAACUCCGAUCGCGAAGGCAGGCAUCCGGGGUGCAACUGACGCUGAGGCUCGAAAGUGCGGGUAUCAAACAGGAUUAGAUACCCUGGUAGUCCGCACAAGAAACGAUGAAUACUCGCGGUUUGCGAUACAGUGUAAGCCGCCAAGCGAAAGCGUUAAGUAUUCCACCUGGGGAGUUCUUCCGGCAACGGUGAAACUCAAAGGAAUUGACGGAAGGGCGUUUA